GAUCCUGGCUCGGGAUGAACGCUGGCGGCGUGCUUAACACAUGCAAGUCGAACGAAGCACUUUAUUUGAUUUCCUUCGGGACUGAUUAUUUUGUGACUGAGUGGCGGACGGGUGAGUAACGCGUGGGUAACCUGCCUUGUACAGGGGGAUAACAGUUGGAAACGGCUGCUAAUACCGCAUAAGCGCACGGCAUCACAUGAUGCAGUGUGAAAAACUCCGGUGGUAUAAGAUGGACCCGCGUUGGA
rnacentral:rRNA from 1 species